GACGAACGCUGGCGGCGUGCUUAACACAUGCAAGUCGAACGGAAAGGCCCUGCUUUUGUGGGGUGCUCGAAUGGCGAACGGGUGAGUAACACGUGAGUAACCUGCCCUUGACUUUGGGAUAACUUAAGGAAACUGGGGCUAAUACCGGAUAGGAGCUCCUGCUGCAUGGUGGGGGUUGGAAAGUUUCGGCGGUUGGGGAUGGACGCGCGGCGUAUCAGCUUGUUGGUGGGGUAGUGUCUUACCAAGGCUUUGACGGGUAGCCGGCCUGAGAGGGUGACAGGACACAUCGGGAUUGAGAUACGGCACAGACUCCUACGGGAGGCAGGAGUGGGGAAGAUUGUACAAUGGGCUGAAGCCUGAUGCAGCAACGCCGCGUGCGGGAUGACGGGCUGCGGUUUGGAUACCGCUUUCGCUUGUGACGAAGCGUGAGUGACGGUAAUGGGUAAAGAAGCACCGGCUAACUACGUG
rnacentral:rRNA from 1 species